GAAGCCUUCAGCUUCCCUUUAACUCUGGCAAGGAAAAGAUGCCUAUGCCUUCUGAUCCUCUUUCCACUCCGUGGAGCAGAAAACUCUUCACCACUGGAGCUUGCUGAGGAGGAAAUGCAUCAAAGCAACGUGGCUGCUUCCAGGGACAGGCAGUGAUGGCUCCAGUUUAUAUUAAGGCCUGUGUGGCUGUGGAAGCAGGUCUUAGCUGUGGCGUGUGGGAUCUAGUUCCCUGACAAGGGAUCGAACCCUUCCCCCUGCAUCCAGAGCACAGAGUCUUGGCCACUGGACCACCAGCCUUAUUGGGUCUAUACUGGAUUCCGUUGACCAGUGGAGACUUGGAACCAUGAAGUUCCAGGAGGGAGCUGUUUUCACUCCUAUGUUCAACCUCAAACCAACCUGUCACAGAUUUAUCAAGGAGGAGGAAGAUGGCCUUAGUUCACUUCAUGCUCCAGGAAUAGUUCUAGGCGUGCAUUCGUCUAGUGGACAAGA